rnacentral:rRNA from 1 species
GCACACGGUGGAUGCCUUGGCGCCAGUAGGCGAGGAAGGACGUGGCUGGCUGCGAUAAGCCUCGGGGAGCUGCCGAGCAAGCGUUGAUCCGAGGAUGUCCGAAAGGGAAACCCGG